UACAGAGGGUGCGAGCGGUAAUCGGAAUUACUGGGCGUAAAGCGCACGUAGGUGGCGACGUAAGUCGGGUGUGAAAGCCCCGGGCUCAACCUGGGAAUUGCAUUCGAGACUGCAUUGCUGGAGUACGGAAGAGGAGGGCGGAAUUCCCGGUGUAGCGGUGAAAUGCGUAGAUAUCGGGAGGAUCAUCAGUGGCGAAGGCGGCCCUCUGGUCCAGUACUGACACUCAAGUGCGAGAGCGUGGGGAGCAAACAGG
rnacentral:rRNA from 1 species